rnacentral:rRNA from 1 species
GACGUAGGAUGCAAGCGUUGUCCGGAUUUAUUGGGCGUAAAGAGUACGUAGGUGGAUAUUUAAGUCUGAGGUGAAAGGCCACGGCUCAACCGUGGAAACGCCUUGGAUACUGGGUAUCUUGAGGAUAGCAGAGGAAAGUGGAAUUCCAAGUGUAGCGGUGAAAUGCGUAGAUAUUUGGAGGAACACCAGUGGCGAAAGCGACUUUCUGGGCUAUUCCUGACACUGAGGUACGAAAGCCAGGGGAGCAAAC